AGCAGCCGCGGUAAUUCCAGCUCCAAUAGCGUAUAUUAAAGUUAUUGCAGUUAAAAAGCUCGUAGUUGAAUUUCGGGUCAGUAGAUUGGUCAUGCCAUUGGUAUGCACUGGUCUUACUGGCUCCUCCUUCCUGAUGAACCGUAAUGCCAUUAAUUUGGUGUUGCGGGGAGACUGGACUGUUACUUUGAAAAAAUUAGAGUGUUUAAAGCAGGCUCG
rnacentral:rRNA from 1 species